UAUAGUUAAUAAAACUUUUCUUCCCUUGUUUUUUUCUAGCCUCCUUUCAUUCUCAUCUUCGUGCUUCUAGAAACCCUAACUCUUCGGCCUUCACUCUCCUCGCCAACUCUUAUUUUCAUGUUCGGUUUUCUCUCUUCUCUCUCGUUCCCGACAGUGAAAUCUUACUGUCAUUCGCGGCUCACAUGUCUUGAUUCACUGCACCUUCUUAUCUCUUCAUCUUCUUCGGUGUACGGUAUGUUUGAUUCUCAAAAAUACAUAUUGGGAUGCGAGCCUUAGAUUUGGAUUGGCAAGGUUGCUUCUGUUUGUAAUUUUGAUGCUGAUAUUCAGGAUGAGGAGCCACGUGAUGAUCUGUCUGGUUUAGAUGACAGGGGAGUCUUGUGAGUUGGAGGCCAUCUUGUUAUCAAGCUUUUGUAGAGUGAAGACGAAAAAGAAAUCAACAAGAUUUGUAAACCAUUGUUUACGAAGUCGUCGUGGUUGAGAACUAAAGCCACCAUACCUUCGUCGAGAGAGAUAUAUUUGAUAUGUCAAGGUUUAAAGCCGGAAAUAAAAAUAUAGGUUGUUUCAUUUCAUGUGGUUGUCCCGAUGAAUUUUUAACGAGAGAAGAAUGUAUUCAUGUAAGUUGCAAUCAUAACUCGAUAUUUUUUUACUCUGUAAUGCAGUAUUGUCAAAUCAUGGCCAUAGUAGAAUUAUAGUGUGCAUUUUUUAGUGUUAUGGCUCUACACUGUAGCAUAGAGAAAUUUGAAUACACUGCUAUUUUCUGCAAUCCAGGAUAGACAACAUUGCUGUAUUUUGAAAUGUGUAAUAGCUUCUUCUGAUUUUUUAUUGAGUCCUUCAUGAAUUUGUCAUCCUUCAAAAAUGUUGAAUGAGCUUUGUAAGCACGGAUUGGUUUCAAUCAAUCAUAUAUCAUUUAAGUGUAAAUAGCUGAUCUACUUUAUCCCAAUUAAUUUAUAAUAUAAGCAACUUUUAAUGUGUGAAUUUGAUUUUAUGAAAUUAUAACUCUAUUAUUUUUCUUUACAUGGAGUGAUAGGAUUACUUGUCAAACUUUCAUUGGAAUCAAUGUAUCAAUGCCAGAACUUUUUGGUAUAUCAGUUGGGUGUAUCAAUGCUAGAACUUUUUUGUUGGACACUGGAAUUUGGUAUACUGCUAGAAUUUUUCUCUGUUAUUAUCAUCUUCAGAUGUGCAUCUAUAGUGUUUCAUAUUUAUAAAGUGGAAUAUACUAGUUAGUCAUUUAGUUGUGUGAUGAGUUUAGUAAUUGGAAAUUGACUCUCCACCUUCUUAUUCUUUGUAACUUGGUAUUUUAAGAUUCUCAUUAUGAUAGAGUCUAGUGACUUGAUUAAUUAUGAGCCUGUUGUAGGGAUCUUACCUUACUUCUGAGUUAACAAAUAAAACAUGUGACUCCUUAGUCACAUCCAAUUGGGUGCUUCAUCUAGUCAACCUCCACCUUCCAAAAAUAGUCUCAUAUAGUAAGUUAUUUAUGUAUGCUAAAAUAAUUGACAUUGUUUCAUGUGAUUAAAAUGCUGAAGUAGUGAUGAACAUCAUUCAAUCUUAAAUUCACUUGGUUUCAUAGUUUGGGGUAUUUUUUAAUAUGGGUCUUUUAUGUAAGCUAGUUUUUAAUAUGAUGUCGAUGGCCAUUGAUGUGAAAAGUUAGAUUCUAACUUGGUAUUUUGUUUGUUCGAAUAUUAUAAUUUGACUUAUUAAUAAAAAUUAUUAUAUAUUUUUCAAAGCUUAAGAAAAGAUGCAAGUUUGAGAUUGAUAGAGUUCUUAAGUAUGAUGGAGAUUGGGACACCUGAGAUCAUUGAGGAGAUUAAGAGCUUGGAAAAAUUAUUUGCAUGGGAGGUUUGCAUGAUGUACGUAGAAGAUACAAAGGGCUUCUUAUGUGAAGGUAACAUCAAUUUUUGGGAUCUCACUUUUGCUCAAGUAAUUUUUCUUUCUUGAUGAUUUUUCUCUUUAUGGUGAUCAUGAAUUUGAGAUACUAUGAAUUCUGUUUUAUGUGAAGGUAACAUCAAUUUUUGGGAUCUCACUUUUGCUCAAGUAAUUUUUCUUUCUGGAUGAUUUUUCUCUUUAUGGUGAACAUCAAUUUGAGAUACUUUAUUGGUUUGUACUUGAGUUAUCAUAUGUAUGUAAUUAUAUUUGUUAUCAUUUGUUACUUUAUCGUAUUCUUAUAUGUAAGUAUAUUAUAUUAAUAUAACUAUUCAUUAUUAUUUUUAUAUAAAAGUUUAACUAAUAUGAUUAAUUUUUUUUACAUAUUGCGGGGUUAUUAACCUCUACAGAAUAACCGCCGCAGUUUACUCGCUUGAAUACCAGCAGUUGCUUAGAACUCCCGCAGAUAAUUUGUGGGAAUCAUAUAAGCGGCAGUUCUUAUAACUCCCGCAAAACAAUUUGCGGAGGUCAAAAACCUCCUCAAAUUUGAAUAAUAACCCCCACAAUUCAUACGCGUUUUUUGUAGACUCUGAUACAAAUAAAUAACAAAAUUAAAGAAAUUUAAGCAGGAACUCACUCAUAAAACAUUAAAUUAGGACAUGGAUCGAACUCCAUGUUGGCAAGUGCAUCUGCACAAGUAUUAAACUCACUGUAAAUAUGACUAACUUGCACCUCCCAAUCCAGUUUGAGUAACUAUUGAAUUUAUUUUACCAAUCGCAUUUAAAUUAUACUAUCCUGUCAAGAAUUCAAAGUGUUUUGAACCACCACUUUGAAAUCUAUAUGAAGCUCAAUAGCCCGAAUCCCAAGCUCUUUUGUUAAUCGUAAUCCUUCUAACACAUCCUAAGGUUCAACAACGUAUGCACUACAGUAAUCCAAAUAUCUUGCGAAGCCUUCAAUCUUC